rnacentral:ncRNA from 1 species
CAGAGUAGGGAAUACGCGUAAAGUGCCGCCGGAUGGGAAGUUGCCGACGGACGAAAAACCUUCGUGGUUUGCGGUGUGUUCCCGCGUCCGCUGC